UACGUAGGUGGCAAGCGUUGUCCGGAAUUAUUGGGCGUAAAGCGCGCGCAGGCGGCUUCUUAAGUCUGAUGUGAAAGCCCACGGCUCAACCGUGGAGGGUCAUUGGAAACUGGGAGGCUUGAGUGCAGAAGAGGAGAGCGGAAUUCCACGUGUAGCGGUGAAAUGCGUAGAGAUGUGGAGGAACACCAGUGGCGAAGGCGGCUCUCUGGUCUGUAACUGACGCUGAGGCGCGAAAGCGUGGGGAGCGAACAGG
rnacentral:rRNA from 1 species